UUAGCAUGCUUUAGCUUGGAAUUUAACUCAUAUUUAACUCAUCAACACCAAGAAAGCAAGUUAUAACACAACCAAUCAGCACAACUUCUCCAAUCAAUACUAAAAGUAGUUCUUCCCUUACUCAUAAAUCAAAAUUGGCUCAACACAUAGUAACAUGCUCAAUAUCCCCCAAUUUCUAUCAUAUAAUGACAUUCCACGCUCCCAAGAGGACAAUUAAACAAGCAUCCAACAUAUAGUUAUCUUGCAUCAAGAAUUCCCAAAUCCACUUAAAUUAAACUAUUGGGAAAUCAUGAUUUCUU
rnacentral:lncRNA from 1 species